rnacentral:lncRNA from 10 species
GGGAACAGGCUUGUCAUAACUGAUCAUGACCAAUCACCAUCCAUCAUCACCUGCAGCUGCACUCAUGGCUGCUCAAAACAAAAUCCAGGUUUGGUUGUGGAUGAGCUGGGCAUUUCUUCUUGCACUCCUCUGACACUGUGUUGACCUAUCUCAAAUCACCAGCCACUCUGCAUUCAUUGCUGUGGUUUGCCUCUUCACCUCUGCCACUGUACUAGAAGAGUUUGGAAAGAGCAACUCUCAACCUCACCCUGUAACCCUUCACAUACAAGGACAUUUCUUUUUGGGAGAAGUCACCAAGUUGCAUCCAGCACAUGGACUGGUUCUUUUACUCAUCC